AUUCCUGAGUAAAAAUUAAACCUUUACUGGUAACGUAAAUCGAAACUAUUAUAAAGGCUGUGCCAGUAGAAUAUCAUAUAAGAACCAUCCUGGCUUUCGGCUCUUCAGUUGAACUGGAGAAGUCAACCACAUACAAACAAGCAAGGUUCUUUCAACUUUCUAUCGCAUAAGUCAUUUUUUUAAAGUGUACUCCACCAAAAGGUUCAUGGUGUUAACUCCGUUACAAUAGAUAUGAUAGUGUUCAUGAUAGUGAAAUGCUUUUCUCAAGUGUUAACUGUGUUGAUUAUCAUUGCUUAUGCCGUAGCGGAUGAAAGAUGUGGACAGUUUGAACCUUCUAUAAAUUCACGUAUUGUCGGCGGACGGGAGGCUGGUUGGCGUGAGUUUCCAUGGCAGGUCUCAAUAAGCAAAUACGGACACCACUUCUGCGGAGGUUCAAUUCUUAACGAAAAUUGGAUAGCUACAGCAGCACAUUGCUUCUACGAGGCUCGGACUGAAAUGCACGCGUUUGAAGCUAUAGGAGGAAUGCACUAUUUACACAUAGAAAAUCACUAUUGGCAGAGGCGAAAGGUGGUUCAAAUCGUAAAGCAUCCUGAUUUCGGCUACACCGGACAUAGGAAUGAUAUCGCUUUACUAAAGGUGCAGCAUCCAUUUAAUUUCACGGGUUCCGGAGGAUAUAUAGGUAGCAUAUGUCUUCCUCGGAAAGGCGAGAAUGUUGUAGGCAACGUAACAGUAUCUGGAUGGGGAAAGACUGCGGAAUCAGCAUUCAGCGGGGCACUAAGUUUGCAAACAGUUCAAGUACCUGUAAUGAGUGACCUCAACUGUCAGUACCGUUAUUUCUCCUUCUGGAAUCUAAUUCUCGGCUCGAAAGUGGAUUCGUCGUCAAUGUUUUGUGCCGGAUUAGUCGAAGGAGGGAAAGAUUCCUGUCAGACUCUAUAAUUUGCUCAAUAAUGAUUUUUGUGUUUAGUAGAGAGUUACGCACAUUCCUCUGGGUCCCCGCCUGCAGCAACGUCUUAAUGGUGGAUGCCAUAUCAUCUGUUUCCCCUGAGCCACAUAAUAACCACAGAUGUCAACAAAAAGUUUCUCUUCGAUCCAUGGCGAUUCGGGCGGCCCAGCUGUGCAGUUCGAAAAUCAAAGGGCAGUGCUUAAAGGCAUUAUCUCUUGGGGAACGGGAUGUGCUCGACCA